rnacentral:rRNA from 1 species
GACGAACCGUGCGAACGUUAUUCGGAAUCACUGGGCUUAAAGCGCGUGUAGGCGGGACGGCACGUCGGUCGCUGAAAGCCCCCGGCUCAACCGGGGAACGGGCGCCGAUACGACCGCCCUCGAGGAACGUAGGGGGACCUGGAACUUCCGGUGGAGCGGUGAAAUGCGUUGAGAUCGGAAGGAACGCCCGUGGCGAAAGCGAGGUCCUGGACGUUUUACUGACGCUGAGACGCGAAAAGCCAGGGGAGCGAACGGG